UACGUAGGUGGCAAGCGUUGUCCGGAAUUAUUGGGCGUAAAGCGCGCGCAGGCGGUCUUUUUAAGUCUGAUGUGAAAGCCCACGGCUCAACCGUGGAGGGUCAUUGGAAACUGGGAGACUUGAGUGCAGAAGAGAAGAGUGGAAUUCCACGUGUAGCGGUGAAAUGCGUAGAGAUGUGGAGGAACACCAGUGGCGAAGGCGACUCUUUGGUCUGUAACUGACGCUGGGGCGCGAAAGCGUGGGGAGCGAACAGG
rnacentral:rRNA from 1 species